rnacentral:rRNA from 1 species
UACGUAGGGGGCUAGCGUUGUCCGGAAUCAUUGGGCGUAAAGCGCGCGUAGGCGGCCCUGUUAGUCCGCUGUAAAAGUCAAAGGCUCAACCUUUGAAUGCCGGUGGAUACUGCAGGGCUAGAGUCCGGAAGAGGCGAGUGGAAUUCCAGGUGUAGCGGUGAAAUGCGUAGAUAUCUGGAGGAACACCGGUGGCGAAGGCGGCAUCCUGGACCAAUUCUGACGCUGAGGAGCGAAAGCCAGGGGAGCAAACGGG